UAUGUAGAUGUUGUCCAAAAAGUUAGUUACGGACUUGAUUUGGAUGAUCCAUCCAAAAUUAGCCUCACAACCUAUGGUUGUUUCAAUGGGAUGCUAUUUUUGGAACCAAUAAAGUACAAGAUUGUGGAGUAUUUUUCAGACAUGCUGGUCUACAACAUCACUGAAAUUUCAGAUGUCUUGUAUUAUGAAGUAUUGGAUAUCCCUCUUUUAGAAUUAGAAGGCUUGAAGACACUGAAUUUUACUUUUCGUUCAGCCAUAAAAAAAAGAGCUGUCCGAACGUAGUAUAAAAUUUUCAGGGGAAACAGUUGAAGAUUUUCUUGUCAAAUUAAAAACUGAGGUUGAGCUAUCUCAUCCUAGUGUAAGACUCAAGUUACUUGGCAUUUCCAAUCACAAGAUAUCUGUGAUCUUUUCCGAAAGUGCAUUGAUAGGGCAAAUAAAGGAUCCCUGGUUGUCGCUAGUCGAGGAGAUUCCUAAAGAAAAGCUUGGUUCUCAGGAUCUGUUGAUUCGUGUUUGGCACUCCAACCACGAGGACCAAGAGCUACAGUACUUUGAAUACCCGUUUCUCUUGAUCAUUCAUGAAGAUGAGACUUUGGCUGAGAUUAAAAUCCAUACACAGGAGAAAUUACAAGUUCC